AAUGAACGUUGGCGGCAUGGAUUAGGCAUGCAAGUCGGGGGAAUCCCAGCAAUGGGGGAACCGGCGUAAGGGGCAGUAAGGCAUGGGUACCUACCUUGGGGUUCGGGAUAGCCAUCAGAGAUGGUGGGUAAUACCGGAUGACGUCGUGAGACCAAAGAUUUAUCGCCCUUAGAGGGGCCCAUGUGAUAUUAGCUAGUUGGUGGGGUAACGGCCCACCAAGGCGAAGAUGUCUAGCGGGUGUGAGAGCACGACCCGCGCCACUCGCACUGAGACACUGGCGAGACACCUACGGGUGGCUGCAGUCGAGGAUCUUCGGCAAUGAGCGCAAGCUUGACCGAGCGAUGCCGCGUGAGCGAUGAAGGCCUUCGGGUUGUAAAGCUCUUUAGUGGGGGAGAAAAGCCGCAAGGUGUGAUCUAUCCCAAAAAUAAGCACGGGCUAAGUUCGUGCCAGCAGCCGCCGCGG
rnacentral:rRNA from 1 species